CUACGGGAUGCAGCAGUGAGGAAUAUUGCACAAUGGGGGGAACCCUGAUGCAGCAACGCCGCGUGGAGGAUGACGCAUUUCGGUGUGUAAACUCCUUUUAUAUGUCAAGAAAAUGACGGUAGCAUAUGAAUAAGCACCGGCUAACUCCGUGCCAGCAGCCGCGGUAAUACGGAGGGUGCAAGCGUUACUCGGAAUCACUGGGCGUAAAGGACGCGUAGGCGGGUUGGAAAGUCAGGUGUGAAAUCCUAUAGCUUAACUGUAGAACUGCACUUGAAACUUCUAAUCUAGAGUAUGGGAGGGGGAGAUGGAAUUAGUGGUGUAGGGGUAAAAUCCGUAGAUAUCGCUAGGAAUACCUAAAGCGAAGGCGAUCUCCUGGAACAUUACUGACGCUAAGGCGUGAAAGCGUGGGGAGCAAACAGGAUUAGAUACCCGAGUAGUC
rnacentral:rRNA from 1 species